GACAGAGGGUGCAAACGUUGUUCGGAAUUACUGGGCGUAAAGAGCGUGUAGGCGGUCCGGUAAGUCGGCUGUGAAAGUCCAGGGCUCAACCCUGGGAUGCCGGUCGAUACUGCCGGACUAGAGUUCGGAAGAGGCGAGUGGAAUUCCCGGUGUGAGCGGUGAAAUGCGCAGAUAUCGGGAGGAACACCUAUGGCGAAGGCAGCUCGCUGG
rnacentral:rRNA from 1 species